CAGAAUCCACUGCUAGGACAGCCACUGUUAACACAGCCACUGCUUCAACAGCCCAGGCAGGGACAGCUAUUGAUGAAGAGACCAGUAAUGCCACACCAGAAUCCACUAAUAGCACACCCACUGCUAACACAGUCAUAGCGACUGCUACCACAAAACAGGCAGGGGCAGCUGCUGAUGAAGACUCUGAUGACGGGCCCGUGAAGGCCCUGACACAGGACCGGCCUGACAAUGAGGAAAUACCACCCGGUGAUGACCAACCUGAGGAGGUCCGUGCUACUGCUGGUGCUGAAG